rnacentral:misc_RNA from 1 species
UUCCUGAUUUUCCCAUCGUUCGGGGCAUUCUGGGGCUGUUUUGGCUAUUGGUUGCUUGUUUGGUCUUGAGCUGGACGGGUGGCUUCUAGCCUGGUGGCUUCGGGGAUGUUGACCGUAAAGGUGGAUGAGUGGUGUUUGGUUUGUUACGUGUGGUUGGCUGCGGCGUUUGCAACAACUUCCAUGCUUUCAGACCUCUUCAUUUGUGCGGCAAGGCUUGUAUCGCCUUGACCGUAUUGUGGGUUUUCUGUGUUGAAUACCUAAUCAAUGGUAUCGGUUGGAUUGAUCAAUGUUUCAUUUCGUCUGACGUCGCAUUCACGGCGUGAGAUGAACCUUGAUGCGGUCUCUUUGAUCCACCUUGUUGAAGCGCAUGCUUUGACGUUGUGGCGCAUUGAGCAUUGCUUGGUCUCUUGUAUGCGGAACAUGUAGUGGGCAUGAAUCUCACGAUUCUCGUUUGCCCUCAUAUUAGCGUAACGCUUCUCUUAAACGACUUGCUCCACGUUUUAG